rfam:Stegodyphus mimosarum contig76610, whole genome shotgun sequence.
GCCUUCGUGGUGUAGUGGUCAGCACGCUCGCCGCGAAAUCGAGAGGUCCGUGGUUCGAGUCCCGAUGAGGGCA